rnacentral:lncRNA from 10 species
UUUUCCAGCUCUUGGCUCCUCUGUGGUAGGUCAGAAGGGGAAUGCAGAGGUGCCACCUCCUGAGGGAUAAUAGCUGUCCAAAAUCGAUGUCCCUUCCAUCUUCUCAGGGCAGCUUCUUUGUCUUCCUGCUUCCCAAUCCUCUCAUCCCACCCAUAUAACCUCCCUGGUCCCUCACCUCACUGAGCACUAGGAUGCCAUCUCUGCCCUGUUUCUCCAUCUCCAGCCUCAUGCUCUUGCGCAGUCUCCAUGCAUUUAGAGCUUUCUCUGUGAGCUCUCCUGCUGGUACAGUGUUCCAAGAGCACCUGCUGCACAGAUAUCAGCAGCAGCUUUGAUCACCUUUUCACCCACCUAUGUACUCACAACCAACUGCUUGGGACCUAACAGAAACUUUCCAUGGUAACUUCCAGAAUCUUUCUCCACCUCCAGCUUUCCCGCUUUGGUUCUCCAUACGGUUCCCCCUUCCCACAGACACGGUCCCUUCCCAGGUCCUCACUCAUCCCUCUGGGUCUUUGCCCACACUCCCUUAUAUGUGGAAGAAUCCUUUCUUCUAAUCCAUGAAGUCCUCCCUCAUUAACUCUACCUUCUCUCUACCACCAGUGAAGUUCUGUAUUUUUAGCCAAAGCCAGACUGUCAACUUGGGGACUUGCUCCCAUUCCUUCACUUCUGAACCACAACAUUGUUCCAGCAGUUCUCCCCUUGAGCUCCUGCAUCAUUAAUUUAUCCAUCUCCACUGGAUGUUUUCCAUUAACAUCCACCAUGCUAUGUCUCCAGUCUUUUUUGAAAAGCCAUUUUGGGUUCUAAUGCCUCACAUUUCUGUAUCUUUAUUUGAACAGACCUCUUUGAGGAGUUUAUGUUACCCUUUCUAACACUAAUUGCUGUCUUUCCAUUCUCUCUCUCUCUCUCUCUCUCUCUCUCUCUCUCGAUGGAGUUUUGCUCUUGUCGCCCAGGCUGGAAUGCAAUGGCACAGUCUGGGCUCACUGCAACCUCCACCUCCUGGGU